CCUACGGGUGGCAGCAGUGAGGAAUAUUGGUCAAUGGGCGCGAGCCUGAACCAGCCAAGUCGCGUGAGGGAAGACGGUCCUAUGGAUUGUAAACCUCUUUUGUCAGGGAGCAAAGGACGCCACGCGUGCCUUUCCGAAUGUACCCGAAGAAAAAGCAUCGGCUAACUCCGUGCCAGCAGCCGCGGUAAUACGGAGGAUGCGAGCGUUAUCCGGUUUUAUUGGGUUUAAAGGGUGCGCAGGGGGACGAUGAAGUCAGUGGGAAACUUUAGGGGCUCAACCUCUUCUAGCCGUUGAAUCUGGUUGGCUUGAGUGAGGUAGAGGUAUGCGGAAUGCGUGGUGUAGCGGUGAAAUGCAUAGAUAUCACGAAGAACUCCGAUUGCGAAGGCAGCAUACCGGCGUGCAACUGACGCUCAUGCACGAAAGUGUGGGUAUCGAACAGGAUUAGAUACCCGUGUAGUC
rnacentral:rRNA from 1 species